rnacentral:rRNA from 1 species
GACGAACGCUGGCGGCGUGCUUAGCACAUGCAAGUCGAACGGAAAGGCCCUGCUUUUGUGGGGUGCUCGAGUGGCGAACGGGUGAGUAACACGUGAGUAACCUGCCCUUGACUUUGGGAUAACUUCAGGAAACUGGGGCUAAUACCGGAUAGGAGCUCCUGCUGCAUGGUGGGGGUUGGAAAGUUUCGGCGGUUGGGGAUGGACUCGCGGCUUAUCAGCUUGUUGGUGGGGUAGUGGCUUACCAAGGCUUUGACGGGUAGCCGGCCUGAGAGGGUGACCGGCCACAUUGGGACUGAGAUACGGCCCAGACUCCUACGGGAGGCAGCAGUGGGGAAUAUUGCACAAUGGGCGGAAGCCUGAUGCAGCAACGCCGCGUGCGGGAUGACGGCCUUCGGGUUGUAAACCGCUUUCGCCUGUGACGAAGCGUGAGUGACGGUAAUGGGUAAAGAAGCACCGGCGAACUACGU